AACGCUGGCGGCAGGCCUAAGACAUGCAAGUCGUACGCGAACGACCUUUCGGGGUUAAGUAGAGUGGCGAACGGGUUAGUAACGCGUGGGAACAUACACAGCACAGGGGGAUAACCAUUGGAAACGAUGGCUAAUACCGCAUACGCCCUAUUGGGGAAAGAUUUAUCGGUGUUGGAUUGGCCCGCGUUAGAUUAGCUAGUUGGUGGGGUAAUGGCUCACCAAGGCGACGAUUUAUAGCUGGUUUGAGAGGAUGAUCAGCAACACUGGAACUGAGACACGGUCCAGACUCCUACGGGAGGCAGCAGUCGGGAAUAUUGUGCAAUGGGGGCAACCCUGACACAGCCAUGCCGCGUGAGUGAAGAAGGCCUUAGGGUUGUAAAGCUCUUUCAGAUGUGAGGAUGAUGACGAUAGCAUCAGAAGAAGCUCCGGCUAACUUCGUGCCAGCAGCCGCGGUAAUACGAAGGGAGCUAGCGUUGUUCGGAAUUACUGGGCGUAAAGGGCGUGUAGGCGGAUUAUCAAGUUAGGGGUGAAAUCCCGGGGCUCA
rnacentral:rRNA from 1 species